GUCGCUGGAAUCUCUGAGUUGGCGUGAAUACCAGUCCGUCGUAGUGUUGGAGAGACCUUGAAUAUAUUCUGCCGUGACUGAAAUGCCGUGUCUCAGGCAAAAUUGCCAGCAAUCACGAGGCAUGUAGGUCAGAAUUUUGUAUUUUGUGCCUCCAAGUGAUUGAUGUAGCGGACUGCUGACACGUUGUCCAUCUUCAGAAGAAUAGUGCAUUGGGCUUGAAUUGUGGAGAGACUAUGGACUGCAAAGGAACCGGCCAGAUGUUCCAAACAAUUGAUGUGGAGUGUUGAUUCCAGGUUUUAUUAUCUGCCCUUGGUGGAAAUAGUUCCGCAUUGAGCACCCCAACCGUGCAAACUUGCGUCGGAUUUGAUUAUCAAAUCCUGAGCUGUACAAAAUAUGGUGUGCUUAUUCCAAGCUUCCAUGUGAAGAAGCCACCAUUGGAGUUCAUCCUCCGCUUCUGAGUCCAGAGUUACCAUAUCUGUGUAUGAUGCGCUGCCCUUGAGAUGAAGUUUGUAAUCGUUGUAGGGCUCGAUAGCCAAGAAGACCUGUAGAAAUGGCCUAUAUAGAUGCCGCUAGAAGGCCUAACAUUCUCAACAGUUUGAGAGAGAGUUGAGAGGUUGCUAGUGUUCGCCUAUCUCCUUCUUUAUAUUGGCUAAUUUUGCCACCGGAGGGUGUAGAGUUUGAAGGGUAGAAUCUACAAUAAUCCAAUAUACCCCAGAAAUUGUAUUUGUUGCGUAGGAACGAUAAUGGAUUUCUCCCAAUUGGUCAGGAAGCCUAGG